CAAUAAACAGUGACUGUGACACAUGUAAGACACAAGAGGAAUUCCCAAGGUGACAGCCAAGUUCUAUAAUGGGUGCUGAGCAGUGACCAGUCCAUACUACGUCAGGUGAUGGAGGUCUCCACGAAGAAGACUUGCAGGACAAAGUACAACCAAUAACACUGUAUAGCAAGUUCAACCAUUUGGAAAACUUCUUUGAGAGUAAUUCUAUAGAGCUAUCAGAAAGCAUGAGAAGUCUUGGCCUUUAGCUCAAAGAAAAGUGAAGAAAUGAAAUGAGAUAAUUAUUCACUUCAGGAAGAAUAAAAAUCUUUAUAAAAAUUUAACUACUUGGCUCAGCAUACUUACAUAAACAUAAUAAUGAAACACUGGAUACUGAUUUAAUGAAAUAUUUUGAUGUAAAAACAUUGGAAGAGUGGUGGGAGGGGUAUAGGAGCAGAAUAAUAGAGCUAAAUUACCUACCAAAAUAGGGAGUCAACAGAUGACCUAUAAACUCAUGACUGAACAGGUAACAGCACAGUAUUGCUUAGAAAUCGAGGUACUACCAAAGAAACAGAAGAGUUAAAAAGGUAAUUCGGUAAGAGCAGGAUGGUGACAGAGGAUAGAGGACUUUAUAUUUUGUUAAAAGAUCCUCUUUUCUGGCAUUUAAAAAAUUUCAAAAACCAUGUUUAAAAAAAAUAAAUUACACAAUUAUUAAUUAGCUUGAUAAAUUAUACCAUUAUCUAGUACUGGAUUAAUUUGUCAAGUAACUCUGAAAUAUAAAAUAGGCUUCACAAUUCCAAUAACUUGAGCGAACGCGAUACAAGGGAAAGGAAUGGGGUUUUCAUAAUCCUGUGCCCUUAGCUCACUGGCUGAGGGCCAUCUGGGAGAUGGCACAGUUCCAAGCACUUUACAGGCAAAUUGGGUUCUAGUAGUUUGAGGGCAGCCUUCCAAAACAGACAGAACAAAACGUAAGGGGAAGAAAACCUCAGGCACACCCACCAAAGCAGAAAAAAAAAAAAGUGUGUGUGUGUGUGUGUGUGUGUGUG